rnacentral:rRNA from 1 species
UACGUAGGGUGCGAGCGUUAAUCGGAAUUACUGGGCGUAAAGCGUGCGCAGGCGGUUCGUCGUGUCCGAUGUGAAAGCCCCGGGCUCAACCUGGGAAUGGCAUUGGAAACUGGCGGACUCGAGUGUGGCAGAGGGGGGUGGAAUUCCGCGUGUGGCAGUGAAAUGCGUAGAGAUGCGGAGGAACACCGAUGGCGAAGGCAGCCCCCUGGGCUAACACUGACGCUCAGGCACGAAAGCGUGGGGAGCAAACAGG